GACGAACGCUGGCGGCGUGCUUAACACAUGCAAGUCGAACGAAGAGCGAUGGAAGCUUGCUUCUAUCAAUCUUAGUGGUGAACGGGUGAGUAACGCGUAAUCAACCUGCCCUUCAGAGGGGGACAACAGUUGGAAACGACUGCUAAUACCGCAUACGAUCUAACCUCGGCAUCGAGGAUAGAUGAAAGGUGGCCUCUACAUGUAAGCUAUCACUGAAGGAGGGGAUUGCGUCUGAUUAGCUAGUUGGAGGGGUAACGGCCCACCAAGGCGAUGAUCAGUAGCCGGUCUGAGAGGAUGAACGGCCACAUUGGGACUGAGACACGGCCCAGACUCCUACGGGAGGCAGCAGUGGGGAAUCUUCCGCAAUGGACGAAAGUCUGACGGAGCAACGCCGCGUGAGUGAUGACGGCCUUCGGGUUGUAAAGCUCUGUUAAUCGGGACGAAAGGCCUUCUUGCGAAUAGUUAGAAGGAUUGACGGUACCGGAAUAGAAAGCCACGGCUAACUACGUG
rnacentral:rRNA from 1 species